UACGUAGGGGGCAAGCGUUGUCCGGAAUCAUUGGGCGUAAAGAGCGUGUAGGCGGCUCGAUAAGUCUGCUGUGAAAGUCCAGGGCUCAACCUUUGAAAGCCGGUGGAUACUGCCGGGCUAGAGUCCGGAAGAGGCGAGUGGAAUUCCUGGUGUAGCGGUGGAAUGCGCAGAUAUCAGGAGGAACACCAAUAGCGAAGGCAGCUCGCUGGGACGGUACUGACGCUAAGGCGCGAAAGCGUGGGGAGCGAACAGG
rnacentral:rRNA from 1 species